GGCAAGGUGGCCGAGCGGUCUAAGGCACCAGGUUCAGGAAAACCUGAAUUAGUGAAUCUCAGUAGAUUUCCUGGUCUCAGUAAUGGGGCGUGAGUUCGAAUCUCACCCUUGUCA